rnacentral:rRNA from 1 species
GAUGAACGCUGGCGGCGUGCCUAAUACAUGCAAGUCGAGCGAACAGACGAGGAGCUUGCUCCUCUGACGUUAGCGGCGGACGGGUGAGUAACACGUGGAUAACCUACCUAUAAGACUGGGAUAACUUCGGGAAACCGGCGCUAAUACCGGAUAAUAUAUUGCACCGCAUGGUUCAAUAGUGAAAGACGGUUUUGCUGUCACUUAUAGAUGGAUCCGCGCCGCAUUAGCUAGUUGGUAAGGUAACGGCUUACCAAGGCGACGAUGCGUAGCCGACCUGAGAGGGUGAUAGGCCACACUGGAACUGAGACACGGUCCAGAGUCCUACGGGAGGCAGCAGUAGGGAAUCUUACGCAAUGGGCGAAAGCCUGACGGAGCAACGCCGCGUGAGUGAUGAAGGUCUUCGGAUCGUAAAACUCUGUUAUUAGGGAAGAACAAAUGUGUAAGUAACUAUGCACGUCUUGACGGUACCUAAUCAGAAAGCCACGGCUAACUACGUG